rnacentral:rRNA from 1 species
UACAGGCGGUAGCAGUGUCGUGAAUUAUUGGGCGUAAAGAGCUCGUAGGCGGUUUGUCGCGUCUGCCGUGAAAGUCCGGGGCUCAACUCCGGAUCUGCGGUGGGUACGGGCAGACUAGAGUGAUGUAGGGGAGACUGGAAUUCCUGGUGUAGCGGUGAAAUGCGCAGAUAUCAGGAGGAACACCGGUGGCGAAGGCGGUAUCCUGGA